rnacentral:lncRNA from 1 species
GAAUUUUAAACUAAAUUGACUGUCACAGUCUUGGUGAUAACAUUUUAUUUUUAUUUUUAUUAAUAAAACAACAUUACAAAAACAAACACGAAUAUUAAAAUCACUCCAAAUUUAAAAAACUUAUAUGAGGCGAUUGCAUAGAUCCGUCGGCAAACCAUUUGUACGUGUCACCAAACAGUUAGAAGAAACAUGAAAACAGACAGAGCCCUCUCCCUCUCAAAUAUAACUAACUGAACCUCUCCCUUCAAAUAUAACUAUACUGAACCCUCUCCCUCUUCAAUAUAACAUGACUGAACCCCUCACUCUCAAAUAUAACUUGACUGACCCUCUCCUCUCAAAUAUAACUAUGACUGAGCCCUCUCCCCUUCAAAUAUAACUAUGACUGAACCCUCUCACUCUUCAAAUAUAACUAUGACUGAACCCUCUCCCCUUCAAAUAUAACUAGGACUGAGCCCUCUCCUCUUCAAAUAAACUUGACAGAACCCUCUCACCUUCAAAUAUAACUAUGACUGACCCUCUCACUCUUCAAAUAUAACUAUGACUGAGCCCUCUCCCUCUUCAAAUAUAACUAUGACUGAGCCCUCUCCCUCUUCAAAUAUAACUAUGACUGAGCCUCUCUCCCUCUUCAAAUAUAACUAUGACUGAACCCUCUCACUCUUCAAAUAUAACUAUGACUGAACCCGUCACUCUUCAAAUAUAACUAUGAACUGAGCCCUCCAACUUCAAAUAUAACUAAUGACAGCCCUCUCACUCUUCAAAUAUAACUUACCGGCAUUCUACAAUGUGCAUAAGGUAUGUUAAAUCUUAUGUCGUUCACUUGGUUAUAAACUCUCACUGAAAUAUGACUAGUUCCAUCCACGUCGCUCAGGGGAACGUUAUUAUAAAUAUACACUGAGUGGCAAAACAUAAGAACAGCUGCCUUUCCGUGACAUAGACGACCAGGUGAAUCCAGGUGAAAGAUAUGAUCCCUUAUUGAUGUC